rnacentral:ribozyme from 12 species
UAAGUCGAAGAGAAUUUUAUUUAUUCCUAUUUAUUCGUUAAUACAAUUGGACAGUAAGUAAGACGAGAGAGAAAAUAAGUCAUCUCAUUUCC